rnacentral:rRNA from 1 species
AUUGAACGCUGGCGGCAUGCCUUACACAUGCAAGUCGAACGGUAACAGGUCUUCGGAUGCUGACGAGUGGCGAACGGGUGAGUAAUACAUCGGAACGUGCCUAGUAGUAGGGGAUAACUACUCGAAAGAGUGGCUAAUACCGCAUGAGAUCUAAGGAUGAAAGCAGGGGAUCGCAAGACCUAGUGCUACUAGUGCGGCCGAUGGCAGAUUAGGUAGUUUGUGGGAUAAAAGCUUACCAAGCCGACAAUCUGUAGCUGGUCUGAGAGGACGAUCAGCCACACUGGGACUGAGACACGGCCCAGACUCCUACGGGAGGCAGCAGUGGGGAAUUUUGGACAAUGGGCGAAAGCCUGAUCCAGCAAUGCCGCGUGCAGGAUGAAGGCCUUCGGGUUGUAAACUGCUUUUGUACGGAACGAAAAGCCCCGGGUUAAUACCCUGGGGUCAUGACGGUACCGUAAGAAUAAGCACCGGCUAACUACGUGCCAGCCGCCGCAGUAA